AUGAACUGCCUGCUCUGGUUCUUUUACGGGCUCCCCAUCGUCCACCCCAACAGCACCCUCGUCCUCACCAUCAACGGCAUCGGCCUUGUCAUUGAGGGCGCCUACAUCAUCAUCUUCAUCAUCUAUGCGGCUAAGAACACAAGGUGGAAGAUGCUGGGCGUGCUCGCCCUCGAGGCGGCGUUCGUGGCUGCCGUGGUGGCCGGCGUGCUCCUCGGUGCCCACACCCAUGAGAAGCGCUCCAUGAUCGUAGGCAUCCUCUGCGUCAUCUUCGGCUCCAUCAUGUACGCCUCCCCGCUCACCAUCAUGGGUAAAGUGAUCAGGACCAAGAGUGUGGAGUACAUGCCAUUUUUCCUAUCGCUGGUGAACUUCCUCAAUGGCUGCUGCUGGAUGGGCUAUGCGCUCAUCAAGUUUGACAUCUACAUCACGAUCCCCAAUGCCCUCGGUACAAUCUUCGGCCUCAUCCAGCUGAUCUUGUACUUUUACUACUACAGAUCGACCCCCAAGAAGGGCAAGAACGUCGAAUUGCCCACUGUCCUCACCAUAAACGCCGUUACCAGCGGCAACGUCUCCGUCACCAUCGAAAAUUAA
rnacentral:rRNA from 1 species